UUUUUUUUUUGCAUAUCAAUAUCAAUUAAUGUUUAUCAUAAAAAUUAUUGGUAAUUACCUGCAUAGAACUUAAAAUUACUUUCAAAAUUAAGCUCUUUAACUCGCUCCAUUCAACACCCGAGCAUAUUUCGCUGUUCUAUAGUUCAUAUCCAAAUCAUUUUUUGCUCAACAAUAUUUCCAUGUUUCAGUUUUAUAUAAUUUCUGUAUCUGUUUUAAACUAUUCUAAAAAAAUUUAAGUAAUUCGUCUCCGUAUUUCACUUAAAAAGUUGGUCAAAUGAACUUUGGGAAAAUGAGAAAUUUGAAAGUAGAAAAAAAGGAUAUCCUUAUAGUAUCCUUUAGAUAGACGAGUGUCAUGGCUAAUGGCUUACUUUUACUUUAUAUUUGAGUAUACCUUUUCCAUAUUCCAUCUUUGAAUUCGUGAUUGAGGUUGGUGGAAAUAACUGGCAAAGUAUAUAAGAGGUUAUUUCAUCUGUGGCAUGUCAAAGAUUGCUGCUAAAGUAGAGGAUCGGCAAAAGUUGAGUCUUUUGUUGGAGUAAUUAUGGAUUUAUAUGUAGUAGAUUUUCAUAUACUAUAUCAUUUUGCAGCAAAUGGAGAGCAUCUUGACAUCUAUCUGGUUUGGUGAGAGGUCACAUCCAUAUCUUAACUUCCAUUUUGCUAUGCAUGCACUUCCCUACUUGCACUAAAACUUCUACCCAAAAUCCUUUUAAAAGGCUGACGCCUACACAAAAAACCAAUAUACAUAUAAAGAAAGAACUCACCUUUAAUGCACUAAAUGAAUUUCACAUAUCAAGUCACCUAAUAAUAAUUAUAUGAAGAUGUCCAUAAAAAGUGAAAUUAGUGUCAUAUACAAUAGGUUGAUUGUAUAAAAAUUCUUUACAAAACCAAAACCGAUACCAGGCUACCAAAAUGAUAGUCUGUUUCAAAUUUUGUUGCAGGAAUUUUUUGGUCGAUCACCAGGUGCGCAUGAUCAGUCCCAACCGUGGGCAAAUAACCUAAAACCCAAAAACAAUAAGGGCAACAUACAUUAAUGCUAACAAAAUCAUAUAUUAGCUAGUCCUGAUAAGGUAUGAUUGUUUCAGUAAAUCUUGUUUUAAAAACAGGAAGGUGAACUUUGCAAAACUGAACUGCAAUAAUAAAACCAAACAAAAUAGCAUGCUUGAAAAUAUUCUAAUAUCCACCAUCAUUUUGAUCAGAACAAAAAGGGAAAACCGUCUCUCUAUCACAAUGAAUCUUAAAUCAACUCAACUAAAUCACCAAAAUUGCAGAAAUCAGAAGUUGCUUCUCAAUGCACAUGUGACCAAACAUGUUACAUGAACAAGUUGGGCCUGGUAGCCUUGUAUGUGGUCUUGAGUUUCCUGCUAGGUGGCCUGACUUUCUUGAACACCAAGGGGAACUUGAUCUUGGAGUCAUGGAACUGCUUUGUGCUCUCCCUCUUGCAAAGCUU
rnacentral:lncRNA from 1 species